UAAUUACGUUUACAUAAUUGUUGACGAAACAACCUAUUCAAGAAGUUUGUAUAAAUAAUUUUUUUAAUUUCUCAUAUAAUAAAAUAUACUAUUUUCGUUUAGGUUUCGUUAUUGCAAAUUUAUAUAUUGGUAAAUUAAAUGGGACGCCUAGUAAAUCAUAUUUAGUUGCAUGUAAAGAACUUAAAUCCACACUAUUUGUGAGUUUAUUAAUUCCUCGUUAAAAAUAUUUCCUGGUAUUGAACAAAAAGUAUUAAUUUGUAUUAGUGAUGCUGGUACAUAUAUGAUCAAAGCAACAAAAACAUUAAAAACAUUUUUCCCGAUAUUAAUUCAUAUUACAUGUAUGGCGCACGCAGUUUAUGGAUUUCUAGAGAAAAUUCGAGAAUUGUAUCCCGACAUUAAUAAAUUAAUUAACAGUGGUAAUAUAAUAAGUACCUUUUUAAAAUUUAAAUACAUAUGUAACUUAUUUCGUUUAUUUCAAAAAAAAAAAAAACUUUUCUAAAAGCACUAUCGAAAAUAAAUAAAUACAGA